UGGGGAAUAUUGCACAAUGGGGGGAACCCUGAUGCAGCAACGCCGCGUGAAGGACGACGGUUUUCGGAUUGUAAACUUCUAUCAAUAGGGACGAAGGAAAGUGACGGUACCUAAAUAAGAAGCCCCGGCUAACUACGUGCCAGCAGCCGCGGUAAUACGUAGGGGGCAAGCGUUAUCCGGAAUUACUGGGUGUAAAGGGUGAGUAGGCGGCACUGUAAGUAAGAUGUGAAAGCCUUAGGCUUAACCUGAGGAUUGCAUUAUAAACUGCAGAGCUAGAGUGCAGGAGAGGGAAGCGGAAUUCCUAGUGUAGCGGUGAAAUGCGUAGAUAUUAGGAAGAACACCAGUGGCGAAGGCGGCUUUCUGGACUGAAACUGACGCUGAGGCACGAAAGCGUGGGGAGCGAACAGG
rnacentral:rRNA from 1 species